rnacentral:rRNA from 1 species
AAACCAACAGGGAUUGCCUCAGUAACGGCGAGUGAAGCGGCAACAGCUCAAAUUUGAAAUCUGGCCUCACGGUCCGAGUUGUAAUUUGUAGAGGAUGUUUUGGGCACCGCUCCGGGUUAAAUUUCUUGGAACAGAAUGUCAAAGAGGGUGAGAGUCCCGUCUUGGCCCGCGGUAGGAACCUAUGUAAAACUCCUUCGACGAGUCGACUUGUUUGGGAAUGCAGGUCAAAAUGGGUGGUAAAUUUCAUCUAAAGCUAAAUAUUGGCCAGAGACCGAUAGCGCACAAGUAGAGUGAUCGAAAGAUGAAAAGCACUUUGAAAAGAGAGUUAAACAGUAUGUGAAAUUGUUGAAAGGGAAGCGCUGGCAACCAGACUCGAGCGCGGUGUUCCCCCUGGCUUCUGCCUGGGUUAUUUCACCGUGACCGGGCCAUCAUCAGUUUCGAGGGUUGGUUAAAGGUCCAGGGAAUGUAUCCACUCCUUCGGGGGUGGACUUAUAGCCCUGGGCGUCAUGCAGCCUCCCGGGACUGAGGAACGCGCUUCGGCGAGGAUGAUGGCGUAAUGGUUGUCAGCGAC